CACUCCUACGGGAGGCAGCAGUGGGGAAUAUUGGACAAUGGGCGCAAGCCUGAUCCAGCCCUGCCGCGUGAGUGAUGAAGGCCCUAGGGUUGUAAAGCUCUUUCACCGGUGAAGAUAAUGACGGUAACCGGAGAAGAAGCCCCGACUAACUUCGUGCCAGCAGCCGCGGUAAUACGAAGGGGGCUAGCGUUGUUCGGAUUUACUGGGCGUAAAGCGCACGUAGGCGGACUAUUAAGUCAGGGGUGAAAUCCCGGGGCUCAACCCCGGAACUGCCUUUGAUACUGGUAGUCUUGAGUUCGAGAGAGGUGAGUGGAAUUCCGAGUGGAGAGGUGAAAUUCGUAGAUAGUCGGAGGAACACCAGUGGCGAAGGCGGCUCACUGGCUCGAUACUGACGCUUAGGUGCGAAAGCGUGGGGAGCAAACAGGAUUAGAUACCCCUGUAGUCCC
rnacentral:rRNA from 1 species